GCGCUGAGGCGUAUCUAUAGUGACGGUUCGCCUGUGGAAGCCCCCGCAUCGACUCUAAAGAAACGCAUUAGUCCCCCCUACGGGGCUGGCAACGCCAUCAAUCUGUGCUGGAAGUCCCCGAACCGGGGCCAACCGGCAGCUCCAAGCGUCGCUCUGGAGUUCACAGAUCAGACGAUAGCGGCCGCUUCGGCGGUUGAGAUAUGAUCGGUCUCGGCUGUCACCAGUCGAGAACGUGCGGAACCUGCGGAAGGAUCAUUAUU
rnacentral:rRNA from 1 species